rnacentral:rRNA from 1 species
AAUCAACGCUAGCGGCGUGCCUCAGACAUGCAAGUCGAACGAUUAAAGCUCUCUUCGGAGAGUGUAUAGAGUGGCGCACGGGUGAGUAACACGUAAGUAAUCUACCUUCGAGUGGGGAAUAACAGUCGGAAACGACUGCUAAUACCGCAUAAUGCAGCGGCAUCGCAAGAUGACAGUUGUUAAAGGAGUAAUUCGCUUGAAGAGGAGCUUGCGGCAGAUUAGCUUGUUGGUAAGGUAACGGCUUACCAAGGCUACGAUCUGUAACCGGUCUAAGAGGACGGUCGGUCACACUGACACUGAAUAACGGGUCAGACUCCUACGGGAGGCAGCAGUCGGGAAUUUUGGGCAAUGGGCGAAAGCCUGACCCAGCAACGCCGCGUGAAGGAUGAAGUAUUUCGGUAUGUAAACUUCGAAAGAAUAGGAAGAAUCAAUGAC